rnacentral:rRNA from 1 species
AACGAACGCUGGCGGCAGGCUUAACACAUGCAAGUCGAGCGCCCCGCAAGGGGAGCGGCAGACGGGUGAGUAACGCGUGGGAAUCUACCCAGUUCUACGGAAUAACACAGGGAAACUUGUGCUAAUACCGUAUACGCCCUACGGGGGAAAGAUUUAUCGGAAUUGGAUGAGCCCGCGUUGGAUUAGCUAGUUGGUGGGGUAAUGGCCUACCAAGGCGACGAUCCAUAGCUGGUCUGAGAGGAUGAUCAGCCACACUGGGACUGAGACACGGCCCAGACUCCUACGGGAGGCAGCAGUGGGGAAUAUUGGACAAUGGGCGAAAGCCUGAUCCAGCCAUGCCGCGUGAGUGAUGAAGGCCCUAGGGUUGUAAAGCUCUUUCAGUGGGGAAGAUAAUGACGGUACCCACAGAAGAAGCCCCGGCUAACUUCGUGCCAGCCGCCGCAGUAAUAC